rnacentral:misc_RNA from 1 species
AUGACAAGAGUGCCUGGCGCACUGCUAUUGCUCAAGACUCGAGACGUUGCCAGAAAAUGUGUAACGAAGCGGCGGAGGAACGGCGGCACGGCAGACGUUGGUGCGGUUGAACGCGCCCGAUCUCCCAGUCCUAGUAAGGGGUCGCACCGCCCAGGUGGCCGCGAUCCGCUUCCCGGCGCGCGCUGAGCUCCUUCCCUUAUCCACCCCGUUAGUGCGCACGCGCGCCUGUCAUCCGGGUGCUGGUGGCGGCUGCAGGUUGCGCCGGGGUGGCGAACAGGGGGCGGGGCCUGCGGCUCAUUGUGCGCAGCGCUGCGCGGCGCCGGCGGCCGGCGAGGCCUGAGUCGAAGUUGGAGCCGCUGCCGCCGCCCUGCAGUUCACUCGCUGCCUUGGCAGCGCGCCGCUCUUCUAAAAUGGCUGCCGCUACCGGUGCUGUGGCACCCUCGGCUGCCUCAGGUCAGGCAGAAGGUAAAAAGAUCACCGAUCUGCGGGUCAUCGAUCUCAAGUCCGAGCUGAAACGGCGGAACCUGGAUAUCACCGGAGUCAAGACCGUGCUCGUUUCCCGACUCAAGCAGGCUAUUGAAGAGGAAGGAGGCGAUCCAGAUAAUAUUGAAUUAACUGUUUCAACUGAUACUCCAAACAAGAAACCAACCAAAGGCAAAGGUAAAAAACAGGAAGCAGAUGAGUUGAGUGGAGAUGCUUCUGUGGAAGAUGAUGCUUUUGUCAAGGACUGUGAAUUGGAGAAUCAAGAGGCACAUGAACAAGAUGGAAAUGACGANNNNNNNNNNNNNGAAAUUGAAGCUCAAGAAGGUGAAGAUGAUACCUUUCUAACAGCCCAAGAUGCUGAGGAAGAAGAAAAUGAGAAAGAUAUAGCAGGUUCUGGUGAUGGUACACAAGAAGUAUCUAAACCUCUUCCUUCAGAAGGGAACCUAGCUGAGGCUGAUCACACAGCUCAUGAAGAGAUGGAAGCUAAUGCGACUGUGAAAGAAGCUGAGGAUGACAACAUCUCGGUUACAAUCCAGGCUGAAGAUGCCAUCACUCUGGAUUUUGAUGGUGAUGACCUCCUAGAAACAGGUAAAAAUGUGAAAAUUACAGAUUCUGAAGCAAGUAAGCCAAAAGAUGGGCAGGACGUCAUUGCACAGAGCCCGGAGAAGGAAAGCAAGGAUUAUGAGAUGAAUGCGAACCAUAAAGAUGGUAAGAAGGAAGACUGCGUGAAGGGUGAUCCUGUCGAGAAGGAAGCCAGAGAAGGUUCUAAGAAAGCAGAAUCUGGAGACAAAGAAAAGGAUACUUUGAAGAAAGGGCCCUCGUCUACUGGGGCCUCUGGUCAAGCAAAGAGCUCUUCAAAGGAAUCUAAAGACAGCAAGACAUCAUCCAAAGAUGACAAAGGAAGUACAAUUAGUGCUAGUGGUAGCAGUGGAAGCUCAACUAAAAAUAUCUGGGUUAGUGGACUUUCCUCUAAUACCAAAGCUGCUGAUUUGAAGAACCUCUUUGGCAAAUAUGGAAAGGUUCUGAGUGCAAAAGUAGUCACAAAUGCUCGAAGUCCUGGGGCCAAGUGCUAUGGCAUUGUAACUAUGUCUUCAAGCACAGAGGUGUCCAGAUGUAUUGCACAUCUUCAUCGCACUGAGCUGCAUGGACAGCUAAUUUCUGUUGAAAAAGUUAAAGGUGAUCCUUCUAAGAAAGAAUUAAAGAAAGAAAUUGAUGAAAAGAGUAGUUCAAGAAGUUCUGGAGACAAAAAAAACAUGAGUGAUAGAAGUAGCAAGACACAAGCCUCGGUCAAAAAAGAAGAGAAAAGAUUGUCUGAGAAAACUGAAAAAAAGGAAGGCAAGGAUACUAAGAAAACAGAAGGUAAAGAUGAGAAGAAUGAUAAUGGAUCAAGUGGCCAGACUUCAGAAUCGAUUAAAAAAAGUGAAGAAAAGAAACGAAUAAGUUCAAAGAGUCCAGGACAUAUGGUAAUACUAGACCAAACUAAAGGCGAUCAUUGUAGGCCAUCAAGAAGAGGAAGAUACGAGAAAAUUCACGGAAGAAGCAUGGAAAAGGAGAGGGCUAGCUUAGAUAAAAAAAGGCAUAAAGACUACAGGAGGAAAGACAUCUUGCCUUUUGAAAAGAUGAAGGAACAAAGGUUGAGAGAACAUUUAGUUCGUUUUGAAAGAUUGCGGCGAGCAAUGGAACUUCGAAGACGAAGAGAGAUUGCAGAAAGAGAGCGUCGAGAGCGAGAACGCAUUAGAAUAAUUCGUGAACGGGAAGAACGGGAACGCUUACAGAGAGAGAGAGAGCGCCUAGAAAUUGAAAGGCAAAAACUAGAGAGAGAGAGAAUGGAACGCGAACGCUUGGAAAGGGAACGCAUUCGUAUUGAACAGGAACGUCGUAAGGAAGCUGAACGUAUUGCUCGAGAACGAGAGGAACUGAGAAGGCAACAGCAGCAGCUUCGUUAUGAACAAGAAAAAAGGAAUUCUUUGAAACGCCCACGUGAUGUAGAUCAUAGGCGGGAUGAUCCUUACUGGAGCGAGAAUAAAAAGUUGUCUCUAGAUACAGAUGCACGAUUCGGCCAUGGAUCUGACUACUCUCGGCAACAGAAUAGAUUUAAUGACUUUGACCACCGAGAGAGGGGCAGGUUUCCUGAGAGUUCCUCAAUUCCGUCUUCAUCUUUUGAUAGGAGAGAACGUUUUGUUGGUCAAAGUGAAGGGAAAAAACCACGUCCUUCUGCACGAAGAGAAGAUCUAGGUUUUGAAAGGUAUCCCAAAAAUUUCAGUGAUUCCAGAAGAAACGAGCCUCCACCACCAAGAAACGAACUUCGAGAAACAGACAGACGAGGAGAACGAGAUGAGAGGAGAACAGUGAUCAUUCAUGACAGACCUGAUACCACCCACCCUAGACAUCCUCGAGAAGGAGGGCCCAAUCCAUCUAGACCAACCUCCUGGAAGGCUGAAGGGGGCAUGUCCACUGACAAACGGGAAACAAGAGUUGAAAGGCCAGAACGAUCUGGGAGAGAAGUAUCAGGGCACAGUGUAAGAGGGGCUCCUCCUGGGACUCGCAGUAAUGCUUCCGGCUAUGGAAACAGGGAGGGAGACAGAGGAGUAAUCACUGACCGAGGAAGUGGAGCACAGCACUAUCCUGAAGAACGACAUGUAGUUGAACGCCAUGGACGGGACACAAGUGGACCAAGGAAAGAAUGGCAUGGUCCACCUUCUCAAGGGCCUGGCUAUCAUGAUACAAGGCGAAUGGGUGAUGGCCGGACAGGAGCAGGCAUGAUAACGCAACAUACGAGUAAUGCAUCCCCAAUUAAUAGAAUUGUACAAAUCAGUGGCAAUUCCAUGCCAAGAGGAAGUGGCUCCGGAUUUAAGCCAUUUAAGGGUGUACCUCCACGACGAUUCUGAAAAUUACUUGCUGCCAUGGUUUCAAGAUAAUUUAUUGAAAUCUCCUAUAAACUUUACUUGACUACUUAUGAAGAGGACCUCUGACUUGCUUGAGAGUUGUCAGACUUUUCCUUUUUCUCUUUUUUUAAAAUUUAACAUGAUUGCUUUUCUCAAUUUUGGAGAAGAUGUUUAAAUAGUUCCGUUGUAACUUUUAAUAGUUUUGUGUAUCAUUCAACUUUUUUUCUUGCAGCACCAAGACACAUUGGAAAGGAUAGGAAUCAAAACCAUUUUGUUUAACGCUGUGUGAAUAUAAAGAGUAGUUUGCAGGUGUGUGGUAGUGGUUUAAUUUGCAGCAUUAGCUCUGUGGUGUCAGGCUCUAGAGUUACUUCUUAUCAACAAGAAUUUUCAGCCUCCAUUUUGAAGGCUGUUUAAGCUUAAGAAGUCUGCUGUUUAAUUUUUAGAAAAUAAGAUUGUUCCUUGCAUUUCUGAGUAUUAUGUAACCUAUUUUUGCAGAAGGUACUGUUACAUUAAGUGCAUCUGUGUAUCCUGGUUUUAAGAAAUGUACUCUUUUUUGAAAUAAACCUUCAUAUUCUGUAUAGUUGCUAAAGCGUUGAGAACCUUUUUAAUUGUAAAAUGAA